AUAAAUAAAUAAAUAAAGAACAAGAUAUCCUUCCUUCCCUCUCUAGAGAGAGAGACAUUUUCUCUCUGUUUUUAAGAUUAACUGGAGGCGCAACCUCUUUUCUUUGCUGUUUUAGUGGCCUUUCUUGUCUAGAGAAGUGUGUUUCCCUUUUUGUGUAUAGUUUUAUUUAGGUUUUGGAUUGCAAGCAUUGAGCUUCAUGGUAAGGUUUAUUUUAGCCUGCUGGGUAUGUUUCCUUCUUGUUGAUGAUUAUUUCUAUAGAUAAGGGAACCUGAGAGACGUUCAAAGAGCUGAUCUGUGGCUUUCGGUCUCUUAAAACCUAUAAGAGAGUGCGAUGGCUGAAAAUCUUCUCUUCUCCCCAGUUCCGCGGUGAUCAUAGCCUGACUAUUUUCGAUUCCUUUUUGAAUUACUAGUGUGAAACCUUCUCUAAUCUAGGGAUCCUUUCGCUUGGGACAUACCUUGUUAGCAGCGUCCCCUAGCAGUACUCUCCUUCAGUUCCCCCCUUACGAGAUUCUACGACUCCACGUGGAGUUUCCCGGUGUUGAUAACACAACUCUGUGCUUUAUGGAUCAUGUUGGUGCCCCUAGCUCGUCUGCUAUCCGUUGGGUAUCAUUUUGCGGGGACACCUCCAUCAGGCGACGAAGCCGCCUUCUUUCCCAUUGGUGCUUCAACAGAAUCAAUACACCCCCAGUUUUUAGGUUUUGGCUGUUGAAGCCGUUAGAUCUGCUUCCUUUGCGGGCAGCGCUUCUCGUUCAAGUCUGGGUUCAGGAACUGGGUUUUGUACAGGUAUUUGUAUGCUAAAGAUUAGUUUAAGUUCUAUUUCUUUUUCGCCAUGGGCCUCUCCAAUGUACUCGGCUAUAAACUUUUUUUUUUUAAUAAUAAA
rnacentral:misc_RNA from 1 species